UGAAAAUAGAAAGUGAGUCAUGC
rnacentral:piRNA from 1 species